rnacentral:tRNA from 2 species
GGACCCGUAGUUCAAUGGAUAGAAUUUCAGAUUCCGGUUCUGACGAUAGGAGUUCGAAUCUCCUCGGGUUCACCA